rnacentral:piRNA from 1 species
UUGGUGUCCGUGGUACCAUUCCGUUCUCC